GAUGAACGCUGGCGGCGUGCCUAAUACAUGCAAGUCGAGCGAACGGACGAGAAGCUUGCUUCUCUGAUGUUAGCGGCGGACGGGUGAGUAACACGUGGAUAACCUACCUAUAAGACUGGGAUAACUUCGGGAAACCGUAGCUAAUACCGGAUAAUAUUUUGAACCGCAUGGUUCAAAAGUGAAAGACGGUCUUGCUGUCACUUAUAGAUGGAUCCGCGCUGCAUUAGCUAGUUGGUAAGGUAACGGCUUACCAAGGCAACGAUGCAUAGCCGACCUGAGAGGGUGAUCGGCCACACUGGAACUGAGCCACGGUCCAGACUCCUACGGGAGGCAGCAGUAGGGAAUCGUCCGCAAUGGGCGAAAGCCUGACGGAGCAACGCCGCGUGAGUGAUGAAGGUCUUCGGAUCGUAAAACUCUGUUAUUAGGGAAGAACAUAUGUGUAAGUAACUGUGCACAUCUUGACGGUACCUAAUCAGAAAGCCACGGCUAACUACGUG
rnacentral:rRNA from 1 species